CUUCCUGCUGGGUAGAGCUGUGUCAUUUUGCAAAUCUAUGUAAUUUUAAGACACGUAAAUUGGGAGUGGAAGUGGGGAAAGUUUUAAAAUCACAUGGAAGAUUCCAUCCGACCAAUGCAAAUGAAGAACUAGAACUAGUUAUCUUAAUAGUGAUACAGGGGAAAGAAACUCCUAACCCAUUAGUUGUCUGGUAUAAAUUCGUGUUCUCUAAAAUCGAAGAAUGAAUUUUAGAAACAACGGAGGAGAAUAUAUUUAUUGAGAGAAAGAAAGCUUCUGUUUUAGGAGCGACAGACGGGGUCCUGAGUGGGUUGUGAUUGUGAAAGAGUUCGUCUUUUUUAUGGAGUUUUGUAGAGCAAAACCACAAGGUGAGGCUGGUCCAAGAAUCUGCAGUUGUCUCAAAAAGAGUGUUAGCCAAAUGUCUGCGGUGGUCUUAAUUCCUGUCAGUGUGGUCUACACUUUGUCCAAGGAGACCAAAUUGCAAGUGCACAAACCAAUUAACCAUUAGCAGCUGAAGAAGGAGACCAGGGAGUCUUGCACAAUUAUAUCUUCUAGGAAGGCUCAGAGGACUAUUUUAUUUCUUACAAAGCAGCGGUAUUAAAAGAAUUUCAUGACCAGCUGUGGCGCCCUGGCAUGCUGCUGUAUUUCAUCAUUUCUGUGAUGACGUCUCCUGGCCCCCACACCAGGCACCCUGACCUGCUCUUCCCUGCCUUGUGUCUCACACCCACCCCACUGGUCCUCUCCUGUGUGCUCAGUGUUCAGCUCUACCAUUUGCUUUCAAAUCAAAUGUUUGGGCUAAAGGUCUCUUACCCCAGAAGAGCUCUGUGCUCUUAGAAUUAAAUUCCUGGUUCUUCAAUGAAUAUACAUUUAUGUCAAAGUAAUACAGAAGUGGAUUCCUGAUUAUUUAAUAAAACAGA